CCAUGUCUUGGCUAUUGUAAAUAAUGCUGCAAUAAACAUUGGGGUGCAUAGGACUUUGGGAAUUCCUGACUUCAAGCUCUUUGAAGAGAUACCCAGUAGUGGGAUGGCUGGGUCAUAUGGCAGUUCACCAUUCCCUUUCCUCUUAGAUUACUGACAACAAUCUUAUUGAGAAAAAAUGGAAUUAAGAUUAUUAUCAGUGUGCUCAUUAUAUUUUUUAAAAAUAAGUCUAUCAAAUCUUUGUCUAGGAUUAACUUUUAUUAAUUGAUUUGCAUUCAAGUGAUUAGGAUGAUUACAACUAAUUAUCCAGUCAACUCUUAAAAUUUUAAUAACAUCCCUCUCUUUGGGCAUGCUUGGAAAAUCUGUCCCUGAAUCAAUAUUACAAAAUAUCUACAUAAUUUUCACCACAGAACUUCUACAAAUAAUUAUUCAUUCCAUUUUGACUAUUACAGCUUAGCCUAAAGAAUUAAGUAAAUAUGUAUUACUUCACUCCUGCACACCCUUUAAACGCAGCUAACAGACACUGAAUAAACCGGCUCAUCCCCCGCGGGAUCAGGAGUUGCUUGCCCCGUAUGCUGUCGCCAGGCUGCAGCCGCCUGAGGGGACUCGUCCGGGGCCCCGCCCUCAGAGCUCACACCCGCCGUGCGCUCUCGCCCCGGGGCCGCCCCGCCGACCUCCCGCGCGGCUCUGCGCGCACAGGCCGGACGCUCGGAGCCGGCGCCGGGCCGCCCUGCUCGGCCUCCUGGGCGCAGCGGCGCCUCUGGACCGAGCACGCGCACCAGCGGCCUCCGCUCAGGCUCCGUGCCCGCGCACGCGCCCUCGCGUCGCGCUCCUGGCUGAGAGACCUGCGCUCGGGCUGGGCUCCGGGCGGUUCUCGCGUUGUCGUUCCACCGGGACUUCCGCGCUUCGGUGGCCUUUCGGACGAGCCGCCGCGCCCAGAGAUGUUCAGGUUGGAGCGACACUUCCCAGACGGCAGCGGUCACGCCAGCUCUUUGGCUUCCAUUCCGUUUUCGCGCGGUUCUCCCUCUUCGCAAGCUCUAGAUUCCCUUUGUUCUUUCCCAGUAGAGGAAUCCCAAGGAGGACUGAUCAGUUUUGGCAGGUGCAAAACCAUGGUGACUAGCAGUACUCCUUCAACAUGGCCAAGUGUCUCUGGGGCAAAAUCACCUCUGAUUGAGAACCAAUGGCAUGAUGUUUCAGAACUGAAAGCAUUCUGACAGAAUUCCAAUCAAGACCCCAUGUCUUACUUGUAAAUUUGCACGGAUCACUAAAUCUCUCUGAGCACCAUUUCUGCAAUAUAGGGUGGAGUUCAUAAACAUACUAUCUCAUAGAACAGACUUUUGUAAAAAUUAAAUAGGAAAGACCCUAUAAGGUG
rnacentral:lncRNA from 1 species